rnacentral:tRNA from 1 species
AGUGUAGUAGCUCAGUGGUAGAGCUCCCGCUUCAUAUUUGGGAAGAUCUGGGUUUGAUUCCCGGCUGCUCAC